CGGUCCCUACGGGGCGCAGCAGUGAGGAAUAUUGGUCAAUGGCCGAGAGGCUGAACCAGCCACGUCGCGUGAGGGAUGACGGCCCUACGGGUUGUAAACCUCUUUUGUCGGGGAGCAAAGAGAGUCACGUGUGGCUCAUUGAGAGUACCCGAAGAAAAAGCAUCGGCUAACUCCGUGCCAGCAGCCGCGGUAAUACGUAGGGUGUGAGCGUUAAUCGGAAUUACUGGGCGUAAAGGGUGCGCAGGCGGUUGAGUAAGACAGAUGUUAAAUCCCCGAGCUUAACUCGGGAAUGGCAUA
rnacentral:rRNA from 1 species